rnacentral:miRNA from 1 species
ACCCAGCCUCAGUCCCCUCGAU